UGGGUUAGUUUAAAAAAAACAAAUGAUUUCGACUCAUUAGAUUUCACUCACAGAAGCCCAUUAAA
rnacentral:tRNA from 1 species